ACUGCUGCGUAAUGUUUUACGCUGCCAUUUCCUGAAGCGAGAAUGAAAUAUAAACAAAUUUAAUGUAUACAAAGGAUACCUCUGAUUCAUCGGCUAUUCGGCUUCAUUCUACUAUGCACACGUAUAGAGACCCUCUCACAUACUCACACGCUCUAAUUCUUACCAUAUACCUUUGGAGAAAAACCACAAUCAUACAAACAUUUAUUAUUAUUCUACUCUAUAAUAAAAAAAAAACUCGGCAAUUAGUCGAGCAGCAGAUUCUUCGUCAUUCCUACAGUUAUCUACAGUUACCGAGCGCAAAGUCAGCAAAAAAUGUAAACAAACCAAACCGUGCGUGCUGCGCCGUGUUUUGAGUUUUACAAACAGUUGCCGGUUGCGCAGUGUGAUCCGGUGUUCUGCACUUUUAGUCUUGAGAAUUGACUCUUCAGAGCAUUGCGUUUACAACUCGCUUAAAACAUCAGUUAAUUCGCAUAUAUACGAGUUUUCAGGCUUGAAAGUCAUAAAGCGAAAAAAGAAGAUGAUAUAAGAAUUGGUUCAGUCGUUACUUCCUUAGAAUUCCCGAGAUGUACCCGUCACCAACACCCGUCGGUCAAUUCAACCACGACAGAUCAACGUUCGUUUAUAUCAAUGGAACAUCCCGAACUUCAGCAGCUACAUGAACAAGAAGGCUACUUUAAACUCGCCAAUACUCAACACUUGCUACAACUUGAAAGGCUUCAGGCACCAGUUGCACAUGCAGCUGCAGCUCUACACGUGCGUAGGCGAGAUAGUUUUCAUAAAUAGCUUCUACAACGCGAAAAUCCCGAUCACCGCGGCCUGUGGCAUCCUAGACAACCGCGGAGUAGUGGUGCAGAAGAUACAUGGACGCGUACAUCGCUUUCAUCAAGUGGAACUUCCUGACGGAUCCGGCGAACGGAUUACUCGACGACGACACCCUGACUAUCUGGUGCAAGUUCAAAGCAGGAUCGACGGAUAAUCCGAUCGCCGUCGAAGGUGACGCGAGAAACAACAAGAACAAUAGCCUUCGUCUCGACGAGUUUGACGAGUUUGACGAAGGCCAUUGUUGACGUUAGCUUCGAAAUCGCGGACAAAAUCAUUACGGGCCACAAGUGUAUACUCGCCAAGAAAAGUCCCGUCUUCGCGGCUAUGUUCCAGUCGCAGAUGAAAGAAACUCAGGAGAACAAGGUAUUCAUCGAGGACAUCGAGCACGACGUCUUCGUCGAGAUGCUGCGCUUCAUCUACUCGGGGAAGGUGCGCCAUCUCGACCGCAUCGCCAAGAAACUUCUGGCCACCGCUGACAGGUAUCUGCUGGAGAAUCUGAAGAAGCUCUGCGAAAUCGAGCUGUGCAAACAACUGUGUGUCGAGAACGCACCGGAGAUCUUGGAGCUGGCCGAUAAACUUCGCGCGGAGACGCUUAAGAACAGCGCGAUCAAGUAUAUCGUCGGUAAUAAGAAGAUUAUUGUCGAUAGACCCGAGUUUCGCGCACUGACGCACAAACUCAUUUACGAGGUCUGCAAGGCUAUGGUCUGACGAGUGAAAAGUAUUUUUUAUCAACGUUACGAUAAGUUCAAUUAAUCGUGCACGAGAGAAUUAAUCUUUCGUUGUUUAUAAAUUAGUAUGUUAUUUAUCAUUGCAUGUCCACUUUUUAAUUUUUCAUACUAUACAUUACUAUAAUUUUUAUAGUUUAUAUGUUUUUACGUUCGAUGUAUCGAGACGAAUUUUAAUCUACAAUAAAGAAGUUUGAAAAAAUUCAAUCAAA